GGCUGCUCCUAGUACGAGAGGACCGGAGUGGACGCAUCACUGGUGUUCGGGUUGUCAUGCCAAUGGCACUGCCCGGUAGCUAAAUGCGGAAGAGAUAAGUGCUGAAAGCAUCUAAGCACGAAACUUGCCCCGAGAUGAGUUCUCCCUGACUCCUUGAGAGUCCUGAAGGAACGUUGAAGACGACGACGUUGAUAGGCCGGGUGUGUAAGCGCAGCGAUGCGUUGAGCUAACCGGUACUAAUGAACCGUGAGGCUUAACCUUACAACGCCGAAG
rnacentral:rRNA from 2 species